AUGAUAAUUGUCUUUUAUUCAUGCUAUAACUGUAUUAUCCGGAAAUCGUAAUACACGUGUGAAUACAUAGACCACAAUAUGUCCCUAGUGAGCCUCUAGUUGACUAGCUCGUUGUGAUCAACAGAUAGUCAUGGUUUCCUGGCUGUGGACAUUGGAUGUCGUUGAUAACGGGAUCACAUCAUUAGGAGAAUGAUGUGAUGGACAAGACCCAAUCCUAAGCCUAGCACAAAAGGUCGUGUAGUUCGUUUGCUAAAGCUUUUCUAAUGUCAAGUAUCUCUUCCUUCGACCAUGAGAGCGUGUAACUCCUGGAUACCGUAGAAGUGCUUUGGGUGUAUCAAACGUCACAACGUAACUGGGUGACUAUAAAGGUGCACUACAGGUAUCUCUGAAAGUAUCUAUUGUUUUAUGCGGAUCGAGACUGGGAUUUGUCACUCCGUGUAAACGGAGAGGUAUCUCUGGGCCCACUCGGUAGGACAUCAUCAUAUGCGCAAUGUGACCAAGGAGUUGAUCACGGGAUGAUGUGUUACGGAACGAGUAAAGUGACUUGCCGGUAACGAGAUUGAACAAGUUAUUGGAUGCCGACGAUCGAGUCUCGGGCAAGUAACAUACCAAUAGACAAAGGGAAUUGAAUACGGGAUUGAUAAAGUCCUUGACAUCGUGGUUCAUCCGAUGAGAUCAUCGUGGAACAUGUGGGAGCCAUCAUGGGUAUCCAGAUCCCGCUGUUGGUUAUUGACCGGAGAACGUCUCGGUCAUGUCUGCAUGUCUCCCGAACCCGUAGGGUCUACACACUUAAGGUUCGAUGACGCUAGGGUUAUAAAGGAAGCUUGUAUGUGGUUACCGAAUGUUGUUCGGAGUCCCGGAUGAGAUCCCGGACGUCACGAGGAGUUCCGGAAUGGUCCGGAGGUAAAGAUUUAUAUAUGGGAAGUCCUGUUUUGGUCACCGGAAAAGUUUCGGGCGAUAUCGGUAUUGUACCGGGACCACCGGGAGGUUCCCGGGGGUCCACCAAGUGGGGCCACCUGCCCCAGAAGGUUGUGUGGGCCAAGUGUGGGAGGUGACCAGCCCCUAGGAGGGCUGGUGCGCCCCCCACAAGGGGGCCAAGGCACAAGGGAGAGUGGGAGGGGGCAAACCCUAGUCCAGAUGGGCCUUAAGGCCCAUAUUGGUGCGCCUCCCUCUCCUCUCCCCCCUUGGCCGCCUCCCCUUUGCCAUCUAGGGCUGGCCGCACCCCUUGGGGGUGGGAAACCCUAAAGGGGGCGCAGCCCCCCCUUCCCCCUAUAUAUAGAUGAGGUUUGGGGCUGCCAUACACAUGAGUUCUCUCCCUCUUGGUGCAGCCCUACCUCUCUCCCUACUCCUCCUCUCCCAUGGUGCUUGGCGAAGCCCUGCGGGAUUGCCACGCUCCUCCACCACCACCACGCCGUUGUGCUUCUGCUGGAUGGAGUCUUCCUCAACCUCUCCCUCUCUCCUUGCUGGAUCAAGGCGUGGGAGACGUCACCGGGCUAUACGUGUGUUGAACGCGGAGGUGCCGUCCGUUCGGCACUUGAUCAUCGGUUAUUUGAAUCACGACGAGUACGACUCCAUCAACCCCGUUCACUUGAACGCUUCCGCUUAGCGAUCUACAAGGGUAUGUAGAUUCUCUCUCCUUCUACUCGUAGCUGUUUUCUCCAUAGAUAGAUCUUGGUGACACGUAGGGAAAUUUUGAAUUUCUGCUACGUUCCCCAACAGUGGCAUCAUGAGCUAGGUCUAUUGCGUAGAUUCUUUGCACGAGUAGAACGCAAAGUAGUUGUGGGUGUUGAUGUUGUUCAAUAUGCUUACCGUUACUAGUCCAAUCUUGUUUCGACAGUAUUGUGGGAUGAAGCGGCCCGGACCGACCUUACACGUACUCUUACGUGAGACAGGUUCCACCGAUUGACAUGCACUUGGUGCAUAAGGUGGCUAGCGGGUGCCAGUCUCUCCCACUUUAGUCGGAACGGAUUCGAUGAAAAGGGUCCUUAUGAAGGGUAAAUAGCAAUUGGCAUAUCACGUUGUGGUUUUGCGUAGGUAAGAAACGUUCUUGCUAGAAACCCAUAGCAGCCACGUAAAACAUGCAAACAACAAUUAGAGGACGUCUAACUUGUUUUUGCAGGGUAUGCUAUGUGAUGUGAUAUGGCCAAAAGGAUGUGAUGAAUGAUAUAUGUGAUGUAUGAGAUUGAUCAUGUUCUUGUAAUAGGAUUCACGACUUGCAUGUCGAUGAGUAUGACAACCGGCAGGAGCCAUAGGAGUUGUCUUUAUUUAUUGUAUGACCUGCGUGUCAUUGAAGAACGCCAUGUAAACUAAUUUACUUUAUUGCUAAACGCGUUAGUCAUAGAAGUAGAAGUAGUCGUUGGCGUGACAACUUCAUGAAGACACGAUGAUGGAGAUCAUGGUGUCAUGCCGGUGACAAGAUGAUCAUGGAGCCCCGAAGAUGAAGAUCAAAGGAGCUAUAUGAUAUUGGCCAUAUCAUGUCACUACUCUAUUUGAUUGCAUGUGAUGUUUAUCAUGUUUAUGCAUCUUGUUUGCUUAGAACGACGGUAGUAAAUAAGAUGAUCCCUUACAAAAUUUCAAGAAGUGUUCUCCCCUAACUGUGCACCGUUGCUACAGUUCGUCGCUUCUAAGCACCACGUGAUGAUCGGGUGUGAUGGAUUCUUACGUUCACAUACAACGGGUGUAAGACAGUUUUACACAGCGAAAACACUUAGGGUUAACUUGACGAGCCUAGCAUGUGCAGACAUGGCCUCGGAACACGGAGACCGAAAGGUCGAGCAUGAGUCGUAUAGCAGAUACGAUCAACAUGAAGAUGUUCACCGAUGAUGACUAGUCCGUCUCACGUGAUGAUCGGACACGGCCUAGUUGACUCGGAUCAUGUGAUCACUUAGAUGACCAGAGGGAUGUCUAUCUAAGUGGGAGUUCAUAAGAUGAACUUAAUUAUCCUGAACAUAGUCAAAAGACCUUUUGCAAAUCAUGUCGUAGCUCGCGCUUUAGUUCUACUGUUUUAGAUAUGUUCCUAGAGAAAAUAUAGUUAAAAGUUGAUAGUAGCAAUUAUGCGGACAGUAGAAAGCUUAUGUCCUUAAUGCACUGCUCAGUGUGCUGAAUCCCAAACGUCGUUUGUGGAUGUUUCGAACAUCGAACAUACACGUUUUGAUAACUACGUGAUAGUUCAGUUAAAUGGUUUAAGUAGAGGCACCAAAGACGUUUUCAAAAUGUCGCGGAACAUAUGAGAUGUUUCGAGGGCUGAAAUUGGGAUUUCAGGCUCGUGCCCACGUCAAGAGGUAUGAGACCUCCGACAAUUUUCUUAGCCUACAAACUAAGGGAGAAAAGCUCAAUCGUUGAGCUUGUGCUCAGAUUGUCUGAGUGCAACAAUCACUUGAAUCGAGUGGGAGUUAAUCUUCCAGAUGAGAUAGUGAUGUUUCUCCAAAGUCAUUGCCACCAAGCUGCUAGAGCUUCGUGAUGAACUAUAACAUAUCAGGGAUAGAUAUGAUGAUCCUUGAGGUAUUCGCGAUGUUUGACACCGCGAAAGUAGAAAUCAAGAAGGAGCAUCAAUUGUUGAUGGUUGGUGAAACCACUAGUUUCAAGAAGGGCAAGGGAACAAAGGGAUACUUCAUGAAAUGGCAAUUCAGCUGCUGCUCUAGUGAAGAGACCCAAGGUUGAACCCAAAUCCGAGACUAAGUGCUUCUGUAAUAAGGGGAACAGCCACUGGAGCAGAAUUACCCUAGAUACUUGGUAGAUAAGAAGGCUGGCAAGGUCGAUAGAAGUAUAUUGGAUAUACAUUAUGUUAAUGUGUACUUUACUAGUACUCCUAGUAGCACCAGGGUAUUAGAUACCGGUUCGGUUGCUAAGUGUUAGUAACUCGAAAUAAAGAGCUAUGGAAUAAAUGGAGACUAGCUAAAGGAGAGCUGACGAUAUGUGUUGGAAGUGUUUCCAAGUUUGAUGUGAUCUAACAUCGCACGCUCCCUCUACCAUCAAGAUUAGUAUUAAACCUGAAUAAGUGCUCUUGCACCUAAAGGAAUGGUUUAUUGAAUCUUGAUCGUAGGGAUACACAUUUUUCAUGCCAAAAGAUAUAAGAUAGUAAUGAUAGUACCACUUACUUGUGGCACUGCCAUGUAAGUCAUAAUGGUAUAAAACGCAUGAAGAAGCUCCAUGUUGAUGGAUCUUUGGACUCACUCGUUUUUGAAAAGUUUGAGACAUGCGAACCAUGUCUAUUGGUGUAUAUGCAUGAAGAAACUCCAUGCAAAUGGACCGUUUGGACUCACUUGAUUUUGAAUCACUUGAGAUAUGCAAAUCAUACCACAUAGGCAAGAUGACUGAAAAGCCUCGGUUUCAAUAAGAUGGAACAAGAUAGCAACUUGUUGGAAGUAACACAUUUUGAUGUGUGCAGUCCAAUAAGUGCUGAGGCAUGCAGUGAAUAUCGUUAUGUUCUUACUUCACAGAUGAUUCGAGUAUAUGUUGAGAAUAUUUACUUGAUGAAACACAAGUCUGAAUUAUUGAAUGGUUCAAGUAAUUUUAGAGUGAAGUAGAAGAUCAUUGUGACAAGAGGAUAAAAUGUCUAUGAUACGAUCAUAGAGAUGAAUAUCUGAGUUACGAGUUUUGGCACACAAUUAAGACAUUGUGGAAAAUGUUUCGCAAUUAAUACCGCCUGGAACACCAUAAUGUGAUGGUGUGUCUGAACAUCAUAGUUGCACCCUAUUGGAUAUGGUGCGUACCAUGAUGUCUCUUAUCGAAUUACCACUAUCGUUCAUGGGUUAGGCAUUAGAGACAACCACAUUCACUUUAAAUAGGGCACCACGUAAUUCCGAUGAGAUGACACCGUAUGAAUUAUGGUUUAGAGAAACCUAAGUUGUCGUUUCUUAAAAGUUUGGGGCUGCGACGCUUAUGUGAAAAAGUUUCAGGUUGAUAAGCUCGAACCCAAAGCGGAUAAAAUGCAUCUUCAUAGGAAACCCAAAACAGUUGGGUAUACCUCCUAAUUCAGAUCCGAAAGCAAUAUGGAUUGUUUCUAGAAUCGGGUCCUUUCUCGAGGAAAAGUUUCUCUCGAAAGAAUUGAGUGGGAGGAUGGUGGAGACUUGAUGAGGUUAUUGAACCGUCACUUCAACUAGUGUAUAGCAGGGCACAAAGAGUUGUUCCUGUGGCACCUACACCAAUUGAAGUGGAAGCUUAUGAUAGUGAUCAUGAAGUUUCGGAUCAAGUCACUACCGUACCUCGUAGGGUGACAAGGAUGCGUACUACUUUAGAGUGGUACGGUAAUCCUGUCUUGGAAGUCAUGUUGCUAGACAACAAUGAACCUACGAGCUAUGGAGAAGCGAUGGUGGGCGCGGAUUCCGAUAAAUGGCUUGAGGCCAUAAAAUCCGAGAGAGGAUCCAUGUAUGAAAACAAAGUGUAGACUUUGGCAGAACGGCUCGAUGGUCGUAAGGCUAAUGAGUACAGAUGGAUUUCAAAAGGAAGACGGACAAUGAUGGUAAAUGUCACCAUUAAGAAAGCUCGACUUGUCGUUAAGAUGUUUUCUAACAAGUUCAAGGAGUUGACUACGGUGAGAUUUUCUCACUCGUAGUGAUGCUAAGAGUCUGUUGGAAUUAUAUUAGCGAUUACUGCAUUAUUUAUGAAAUCUUGAAGAUAGGAUGUCAAAACAUUGUUUCCUCGACAAUUUUCUUGAGGAAAGGUUGUAUGUGAUACAACCGGAAGGUUUCGUCAAUCCUGAAAGAUGCUAAUAAGUAUGCAAAGCUCCAGCGAUCCUUCUGAGGACUGGAGAAAGCAUCUCGGAGUUGGAAUGUAUGCUUUGGUGAGAUGAUCAAAGAUUUUGGGUGUAUACAAAGUUUAUGAGAAACUGGUAUUUCCAAAGAAGUGAGGGGGAGCACUAUAGAUUUUCUGACAUAUUGAUGAUCAGAAAUGAUGUAGAACUUCUAGAAAGCAUAUAGGGUUAUUUGAAAGGUGUUUUUCAAUAGAAAACCUGGAAUAAGCUACUUGAGCAUUGAGCAUCAAGAUCUAUAAGGAUAGAUCAAAAUGCUUAAUAAUACUUUCAAAUGAGCACAUACCUUGACAUGAUCUUGAAGGUGUUCAAGAUGGACCAGUCAAAGAAGGAGUUCUUGCCUGAGUUGUAAGGUACGAAGUUAAGACUUAAAGCUCGACCACGGCAGAAUAGAGAGAAAGGACGAAGGUCGUCCCCUAUGCUUAAGACGUAGGCUCUUUAGUAUGCUAUGCUGUGUACCGCACCUGAAGUGUGCCUUGCCAUGAGUCAGUCAAGGGGUACAAGAGUGAUCCAAGAAUGGAUCACAGGACAGCGGUCAAAGUUAUCCUUAGUAACUAGCGGACUAAGGAAUUUUUCUCGGUUAUGGAGGUGGUAAAAGAGUUCGUCGUAAAGGUUAUGUCGAUGCAAGCUUGACACCUAUCCGGAUAGCUCUGAGUAGAGAGACCGGAUACAUAUAAUGGAGCAAUAAUUUAGAAUAGCUCCAAGUAGAACAGUUAUUUGGAAUAGCUCCAAAUAGAGCGUGGUAGCUGCAUCUAGGAGAUGACAUAGAGAUUUGUAAAGCACACACGGAUCUGAAAGGUUCAGACCCGUUGACUAAAACCUCUCUCACAAGCAACAUGAUCAAACAUAAAACUCAUUGAGUGUUAAUCACAUAGUGAUGUGAACUAGACUAAGGAUUCUAGUAAACUCUUGGGUGUUCGUCACAUGGCGAUGUGACCUGUGAGUGUUAAUCACAUGGCGAUGUGAACUAGAUUAUUGACUCUAGUGCAAGUGGGAGACUGUUGGAAAUAUGCCCUAGAGGCAAUAAUAAAAGUGUUAUUAUUAUAUUUCCUUGUUCAUGAUAAUUGUCUUUUAUUCAUGCUAUAACUGUAUUAUCCGGAAAUCGUAAUACACAUGUGAAUACAUAGACCACAAUAUGUCCCUAGUGAGCCUCUAGUUGACUAGCUCGUUGUGAUCAACAGAUAGUCAUGGUUUCCUGGCUAUGGACAUUGGAUGUCGUUGAUAACGGGAUCACAUCAUUAGGAGAAUGAUGUGAUGGACAAGACCCAAUCCUAAGCCUAGCACAAAAGGUCGUGUAGUUCGUUUGCUAAAGCUUUUCUAAUGUCAAGUAUCUCUUCCUUCGACCAUGAGAGCGUGUAACUCCUGGAUACCGUAGAAGUGCUUUGGGUGUAUCAAACGUCACAACGUAACUGGGUGACUAUAAAGGUGCACUACAGGUAUCUCCGAAAGUAUCUAUUGUUUUAUGCGGAUCGAGACUGGGAUUUGUCACUCCGUGUAAACGGAGAGGUAUCUCUGGGCCCACUCGGUAGGACAUCAUCGUAUGCGCAAUGUGACCAAGGAGUUGAUCACGGGAUGAUGUGUUACGGAACGAGUAAAGUGACUUGCCGGUAACGAGAUUGAACAAGGUAUUGGAUGCCGACGAUCGAGUCUCGGGCAAGUAACAUACCGAUAGACAAAGGGAAUUGAAUACGGGAUUGAUAAAGUCCUUGACAUCGUGGUUCAUCCGAUGAGAUCAUCGUCGAACAUGUGGGAGCCAUCAUGGGUAUCCAGAUCCCGCUGUUGGUUAUUGACCGGAGAACGUCUCGGUCAUGUCUGCAUGUCUCCCGAACCCGUAGGGUCUACACACUUAAGGUUCGAUGACGCUAGAGUUAUAAAGGAAGCUUGUAUGUGGUUACCGAAUGUUGUUAGGAGUCCCGGAUGAGAUCCCGGACGUCACAAGGAGUUCCGGAAUGGUCCGAAGGUAAAGAUUUAUAUAUGGGAAGUCCUGUUUUGGUCACCGGAAAAGUUUCGGGCGAUAUCGGUAUUGUACCGGGACCACCGGGAGGGUCCCGGGGGUCCACCAAGUGGGGCCACCUGCCCCAGAAGGUUGCGUGGGCCAAGUGUGGGAGGUGACCAGCCCCUAGGAGGGCUGGUGCGCCCCCCACAAGGGGGCCAAGGCGCAAGGGAGAGUGGGAGGGGGCAAACCCUAGUCCAGAUGGGCCUUAAGGCCCAUAUUGGUGCGCCUCCCUCUCCUCUCCCCCCUUGGCCGCCUCCCCUUUGCCAUCUAGGGCUGGCCGCACCCCUUGGGGGUGGGAAACCCUAAAGGGGGCGCAGCCCCCCCUUCCCCCUAUAUAUAGAUGAGGUUUGGGGCUGCCAUACACAUGAGUUCUCUCCCUCUUGGUGCAGCCCUACCUCUCUCCCUACUCCUCCUCUCCCAUGGUGCUUGGCGAAGCCCUGCGGGAUUGCCACGCUCCUCCACCACCACCACGCCAUUGUGCUGCUGCUGGAUGGAGUCUUCCUCAACCUCUCCCUCUCUCCUUUCUGGAUCAAGGCGUGGGAGACGUCACCGGGCUGUACGUGUGUUGAACGCGGAGGUGCCGUCCGUUCGGCACUUGAUCAUCGGUGAUUUGAAUCACGACGAGUACGACUCCAUCAACCCCGUUCACUUGAACGUUUCCGCUUAGCGAUCUACAAGGGUAUGUAGAUGCUCUCUCCUCCUACUCGUAGCUGUUUUCUCCAUAGAUAGAUCUUGGUGACACGUAGGAAAAUUUUGAAUUUCUGCUACGUUCCCCAACAGAAUGUAAGGUAGUAAGCACAGGAGCCGGGCAACCGAACUAUUGACCAAAGACAUGAUUCGGAGCCGAUGCAUAUAAUGCUACAAUUCGGGGUGCCGAACUAUACUGUAAAAAGUGUUCGGACUUUGUUGCCGUAGUAUGGAGCAUGAUGAAGCCCCUCGUGAAUUAUGGUGUACCAGAGUGUACGGGUGCAAGUGACAAGAAUAUCAAGAAAAACAAAGAAAAAUUAAGCAAUAGGCUAAUGCUGCAGAAAUUGGGCCGCUAACUAUUUUCCAUUAUAGUUUGAUUAAUACGUCAAGCGUAUUUGUACAAGUAGUGCGAUAAGCAACAGGGCUAUUUAACAUGCCACGACCAAGGAAGAGCUGCGUGCGGGGCUUAAAACAGGCAUACCGAUCGUGUAAUGAGACCACCAGGAAAUUCCCUUAUAUGUCAAUGCUUCUUGUCGUCUUGGUGUAUCCGUCCCUUGAUAGGUCCGACAAUCAGGCCACCAGGAAAAGCCUGGGAACAAAAAGAAGGCUGAAAAGAAAAAGAAAAAGUGAAAGUAUGUGGGUCCAGAUAUUGUGGACCAUGAUCUAGCUGUGCCUCCGUCUAUGCCCAUGGUAUUUUGAGUGUGUAAUUAUGUACGCGCGAUACGAAUGUCGCCGUUUGGUCAGGACUGGGGCGGAGACCGAAUUGCUAGUCAAGCUCUUGACGAGCUCGACUGUCUCGCUGCAGAGUAGUUCGGACUCGUUUGACAGUGUCCGUGAGCUUGGCCGCCGAAUUAAGAUUCUGCCUGAAAAGGCCGCUCUGUGCUUCUACGGCGAGGGUAGCGGUGUGCUCCUCAGUACGGAGGGAGCGUUCCGUGUUUCCAUUGACCGUUAUGACACUGCGUGGUCCGGGCAUCUUGAGCUUGAGAUAAGCGUAGUGUGGCACCGCAUUGAAUCGAGCGAAUGCGGUUCGUCCGAGCAGUGCAUGAUAGCCACUAUGGAAGGGGACAAUAUCAAAGAUCAACUCUUCGCUUCGGAAGUUGUCCGGAGAUCCGAAGAACACCUCCUGUGUGAUUGAGCCCGUACAGCGGGCCUCUACACCUGGUAUGACACCUUUAAAGGUGGUUUUUGUGGGCUUAAUCCUUGAGGGAUCGAUGCCCAUUUUGCGCAUUGUAUCCUGAUAGAGCAGGUUGAGGUUGCUGCCACUCUCCAUGAGGACUUCGGUCGGGUGGAAUCCAUCAAUGAUUGGGUCGAGGACCAGUGCGGCUGAACCGCCAUGACGGAUACUGGUCGGAUGGUCCCUGCGAUAGAAAGUGAUCGGGUAGGAUGACCAUGGGUUGAACUUUGGGGCGACUGGCUCCAUCGUGUAGACGUUCCUGAGCGCACGCUUGCGCUCCCUCUUGGGGAUAUGUUAGCGUAUAUCAUGUUCACUGUUUUAACUUGGGAGGGAAACUUCUUCUGUCCCCCUAUGUUUGAUGGCCGGGGCUCCUCGUCAUCGUCCUUGCUUUGUGACCCCUUCUCCUUGUUCUCGGCAUUGAACUUGUCGGCCUAUUUCAAAACCCAACAUUCUCUGUUGGUAUGAUUGGAUGGUUUAUCAGGAGUGCCAUGGAUUUGACAUGGGCGAUCGAGUAUGCGAUCCAAACUAGACGAGCCCGGAUUGUUUCUUUUGUAUGCCUUCUUCCGCUGACCGGACUUAGAGCCACUGAAUCUGGCAUUGACCGCCGUGUCUUCGGUGUUGUCCCCGUUGUUUCGACGUUUGCGCCUGUUGCGUCGGGGCUUGUCGUUGCUGUUUCUGGCUUCAGAAGUGCCAGGUUCGCUUGUAUUGUUAUUGCUUCGGGCUAGCCAGCUAUCUUCGCCCGCACAGAAGCAGGUCAUGAGUGCCAUGAGGGCUGCCAUGGACUUUGGCUUUUCUUGGCCGAGGUGACGGGCGAGCCAUUCAUCGCGGAUGAUAUGCUUAAAGGCCGCUAGGGCUUCGGCAUCCGGGCAGUCGACGAUCUGGUUCUUUUUAGUUAAGAACCUAGUCCAGAAUUUCCUGGCUGACUCUCCGGGCUGUUGAACUAUGUGACUUAAGUCAUCGGCAUCCGGAGGUCGGACGUAUGUACCUUGGAAGUUGUCGAGGAAGUCAUCUUCCCAGUCCUCCCAGCUGCCAAUGGAGUUUUCGGACAGACUGUUCAACCAGUGCCGAGCUGGUCCCUUGAGUUUUAGCGGGAGGUAUUUGAUGGCGUGAAGAUCAUCACUGCGGGCCAUAUGAAUAUGGAGAAGAAAAUCCUCAAUCCAUACUGCGGGGUCUGUUGUCCCAUCAUAUGACUCCAUGUUCACGGGUUUAAACCCUUCCGGGAAUUCAUGUUCCAUUACUUCAUCAGUGAAGCAAAGGGGUUGUGUGGUGCCUCUAUAUCGGGCCAAGUCGUGACGUAGCUCGGAUGGAGUUCGUCUGUAGUUGUCGGCCCUGACGUGGUUAUAUUUGUCAUGUCCGGUCGGGUGGCCAUCAUCGCGCGUAGGGGCACGCCCCCGCGAUCCGUAGAUCGAUCUUGUCUGACCUGCUCUGUUUUCCAGGUCAUGCCGCAGGUCAUGUGUGUGUCCCCGAGCUGUUGUAUCUCUGUUUUUACGGCGAGGUAGUGCGGGAUGGUGUUCGGCUUGAGUUGCCGCUUUGUCCCGGCCACGUGGUGGUCGGUCUGCCGUAUUACGCGCUGGUAGGACGGGCUCCGGCGCCUCGUCAUUGAAUUGGGGUAACAAUUUGCGCUCCAGGUAACUUUUGGUUGGGCGCUCGAGGCCGUAUUCUUCGGCUGCUAGGACACCAGUCCAUCUAUCGUUGAGCAGAUCUUGAUCAACUUGAAGCUGCUGCUGCUUCUUUUUCAGGCUCCUUGCAGUGGCAAUUAGGCAACGCUUAAAGCGCUCCUGUUCGUCGGGCUCCUCAGGCACGAUGAAGUCUUCGUCGCCGAGGCUCACCUUGUCCUCAGAGAGCGGAAGGUAGUUACUAUCCUCCGGGUCUUCAUUCAUGGCCUGUUCAUCAGGGUUAACUCGCUCAUCUUCCCGUUCGUCCUGUUCGGAGGUUGGCUCAACGGUGUCUUCAUUGUCUUCGGCAGCGUCCGGAGUGUUAUUUUCUCCUGUGCCGGUACUGCUGUUUUUUCCAUGGCGUGGUUUGGAGCGGUGCCGCUGAUGUCGGUGCUCUGGCGGUAUCUCAGGAGGUUGGUCCUCGACUGGAUCCUUCUCAUUGUCGUCGUUGUUCUCUUUGGAUGUAUCCACCAUGUAUACGUCAUACGAGGAGGUGGCUGUCUAGCGUCCUGUAGGCGGUGGUUUUUGUGCCUGCUCCUCUCCGGCAUCAUCGUCCAUACCGUUGAUGUCUUCAGAGUCGUAAUCGAGCAUGUCGGUUAGGUCUUCGAUAGUGGCUAUGCAGUGGGUGAAGGAUGGGAAGCGGAAUUCUCCGUCAUCAGCUUCCAAUUCAAACCGGAUAUAGUUCGGCUAACAGUAUCCUGAUAAAGAGAGGGCUUUUAAUGAGUUUAGCACAUCGCCAAAAGGUGAGUGCCGAAAGAUGUCCGCGGAGCUCAACUCAAUGAUCGGCGCCUAAUCGAAUUCGAUAGGCGCGGAUGCACGCGGUUCGGAACCUUUGGCCGGAGACGAGCUCGAGGUUCCGGUGACACAGACCCUACUCGAGGUUGGAUCUGUGUGCGGCUCUAACGCCGCCGAGUCUGCGGCUUCCCUGGCGGGGUUGAGCUUCCCGUCUUCGGGCGGCGCAAUCUGCUCCGAAUCUAGGGCCGGAGCAGUCACAGGCGCUAUCUCCUGGGCACGGUCCAAUGACAGAUUAAGGUCAUGUUCAUCGUGGUGGCAGGGAGCGGAUGUCAUGGGAUCGAAUCCAUCAAAGAUCAAGUCUCCCCGGAUAUGGACAACGUAAGUCAAUCUUCCAAACCUGACCUGAUGGCCAGGGGCGUAGCUGUCGAUCUGCUCCAGAUGGUCAAGCAAGUUGGCCCGCGGUGCGAAGCCGCCGGAUACAAAGAUCUGUCUGGGGAGGAAAACCUCCCCCUGGACUGCAUUGUUGUAGAUGAUUGAAGGAGCCAUCAAACCUUUUGACGACGACGCAGCGGAACUCUCAAUGAAAGCACCAAUGUCGGUGUCAAAACCCGCGUAUCUCGGGUAGGGGGUCCCGAAUUGUGCGUCUAAGGUCGAUGGUAACAGGAGGAGGGGGACACGAUGUUUACCCAGGUUCGAGCCCUCUCUAUGGAGGUAAUAUCCUACUUCCUGCUUGAUUGAUCUUGAUGAAUAUGAGUAUUAUAAGAGUUGAUAUACCACGAGAUCGUAAUGACUAAACCCUAAAAGUCUAGCAUGUAUGAUUAUGAUUGUGAUUGUAGUUGUCUCUAUGGACUAAGCCCUCCGGUUUAUAUAGACACUGGAGGGGACAAGGGUUGUACAAAGUCUGUUACAGAGAAAGGAAUCUACAUAUCCGAACGCGCUUGCCAUCCACGCAAAGGAGAGUCACAUCCUGACACGGGAAGAAGCCUUAUGUCUUGUAUCUUCAUAGCCCAUCAGUCCGACUCAUGUUACAUAGUACAGCCGUCCGAGGACCCCUUAAUCCAGGACGCCCUCACACGUGUUCAGUCAUGCGGGGAAUUGAUGCACUACGAAGUGGGACCCACCACCAGACACAUUGAUUAGUUUGACCCCCUGUAUUUACCUUAACCGCAGCCCCGUUGACGACCGGACCCGUGUUUUAACCACCUGGUCGUAUUGGGGCUAUUAUUGCCAUGUAAGACGGUGCACAGGAGCUAUUUCUGGCAACUACGACACACUCAUUCCAAUUCACAUGAAAUGUGUCGCAUAGGAGCUAUUGACCCAUACAACAACACUACACUGGCCCCUCCCACUCUUUCCCACCGGAUAGAUGGCUUGGAUGCACAUCGGCGGGUCGAUGUUUGCAGAUGCAACUCUCAGUCACUUUGCUACUCCUUAUGCUCACACGCGCCUUUCAUGUAUUAUUUCAAGAGUAGCAUAUCAUGUUAUCAUUUUCCAGCUUCACCACUGUCAGUCUGGCAACUGCUGUUAAAGCUAUCAUCAAAAUACUAACAAACGUACUGAUAAUGGAAAACAAGGAGGCAGCGACAACUUGUCGAUUGCAAUUGUGCAUCCUGCCUAAUUACAACACUGAAUUAAACAGCUUGUCAGUUGGUGACGCAUCAACAACAGAGAGAACAAUAUGUUUUGGUUUACAUACAAAAAUAUGGCUUGGCUGCAAAAGGGUUGGCACUAUUAAUGUGUUACUUGUCUCUCUGUGAAGUGCUAACAUCAGAUUGAACAACAAAAUUUUAAAUUAGACAUUGUGUUAGCAUCAGUGUAUAAUGCAUAUGUAGGUUUAAACAUCCAUAAUGUAUAUUAAGUGUGCAACAGUCAAAAAGUAUAAUUCAGCUACAAUAUCAACACUGGAAACUCUAGUUCUCACAACAGAGAUUCAAAUGUUCAUGCAGAAAAAUAUCAAUAAGCUGAGUACUCCCAAAAUGAGCGACAGUGGAAAGUAGCAUUGCAUAGAAUGAUAGAAACAAUUUGUGGGGCAUGAUGGUUUCUGCAGCUUGCGAGCAUAUAGGCACAAAAGAAGCUAAAGCACUGAUGAGAAGCUACUGGGAAAUUAGUGUUUGCGAAAUGGAUGAAGGAAUGUCAUACACAUAUACUAUUUGUAGGCAAAGGUAAUUUGUCCCAUGAAAACUGAACACACCAAUGAGUCAUUAUGGCUAGAUCAAUCAACCAUCAUAUAAAUAAAAUGUCAACCCCCUCAUAAAACGUAUAAUGGGUAGUAUGGACUUUUCACAAAUUGUAUUAACUUUCCUACAUAGAACGUAUAUAGGCUGUAGGUUUAUAUCCCUCCCUGGUGGGCUCAGCCCAUUUACGUUUUUUUAGUUUUAUUUGUCAAAAAAAUGGACGCCCUCAGCUGUAUUCGAACCACAGACCACACGCGCUCCCUGUAACCACACAAACCAUCCGGGACAGCACAUCAGAUUUGCUUUCUUGGCUUGUUUUUCACUUCUUGUGCCCAAGAAGAAAACACAGCACCUCCACUCUUUAGUUUAUGUCUCUCUUUUUUUGCACGGUUUUCUUUAGGCUUUCUAGUUUUCCUGUUUUGUUCAUAAAAUACUAAUAUUUGUAUUUUUAAAAAUUGUACAUAAAUUUCAAAACAAAUGUUCAUGCCUUUCAAACAUGCUCAGAAUGUCAAAAUACGAACAGUUUUUUUAAAUAAAAAAAAUUCGAACACGAACAUUUUUUGGAAAAGGUAAAAAAAAUGGAAUUACAGAAAAAUAUGACCAAAAUUUGAAUUCUGAAAAAAAAGAGAAAUAGAAAAAAUAAACAUAAUAAACGAAAAGUCUAGGAAGACAAACAAAUAAACACAAGAGAAGAUAAAAAGAAAAAGAAAAACAUGGUUCACGGCCUCCGAGAAGGUCCCAAAACAGGAAAAAAUGGCUGGGAACCCAAGGUUCCCAAGACUGAGAAUUUAGUUUUGCAAAUUUCAUAGUGAACUUUGUUUUGAUUUUUUUUGUGAAAAUAUUCAAAUCCAUGAAUAUUUUUAAAACAAUUGAUGAACUUUUCAAAUCCGUGAGCUCUUGGACCGGCCCAACACAUGCCCGAUGAGAGCAAUGUCGUCGCCUAGUUGGGCCAAGGCCUAAGCGUUUUAUUUUCUUUUCUAUUUUUUCAUUUGAUUUCUUAUUCUGUUAAUUCAUUUUUCUCUUUUUUGAAUACCAAAAUACAAGUUGUGACUAACUUUUUAAACUAGUGAUUUAAUAAAAAUAUAAAAUAAUUAUUAAAUGUUUUAAAAAACACUUACUGUUUUCAAUUUUAUCCCUUUGUAUUUAUUAGUUGGGGUCAUUUCAAGGAUGUCCAAAAAACACCAUGUUCGACGGAGAUUAUUCGGUAAGGUCAGAACGGUUCAUCUGAGAGCACGUUAUUUUUCAACAUAUUUGAAAACUGAUCAAUUUUGGGGAAAGAAAGUUCACUGAUUUGAAAGAAAAAUUCAAGAAUUUGAAUUUUUUUCGUCAUUUUUGAUUAAAAAAUCACGAAUUAUAAGAACUUCACGCAUUUAAGAAACAAAAAACAAAUGAAAAAAACAACCAAAAAAUGUUGCGCUUUUCCAGUGUUGUAUUUCAAAUAUAAAAAAACUUAGUUGACACUAGAGGUCCGGUUGCCUGGCUGGUUAUUGCGGCUGUGCUAAUUGUUGAAGGACCUAGGGUCGAAUCCUACAGCAAGCACCUUUUUUGCGGUUUCAAAAAAAAGAAAGGAUGAAUGUGCUGAAUGGGCCAGCCCAGCACGGCAGGUGUGCACGUCCGUUAAUGUACAACGUAUAUACAUGCUGCUCUUGUUUAUCUUAGCCAACUGUCUGCCAUGACAUGGUACUUCAUCUCCUUCGUACCUAGCGCCGCGAGAUGCGGAUCUCCACCCACCGGCGCCUGACCUUAGCGCCGGGGUGGUCCGCUCCGGUGCCAGCCGGAUCUGGAUCGCGAUUUUCUUGCCUCCGUGCAGAUGACGGAGGUGAGGACUCCUCGACGGCCGAGACCUCCGAGGCAUCGCGCCGGCGUAAGACUGACGAGGAGCUGGCCGCCGAGUUUUGGGCCGACAUUGGGUAUCCUACAUCAGCCUCACGAGUAUGGGAGAGACCGUCUUCUAGGCGAGGAUCUGCUCAGAAGGAUUGUGCACAAGAGGUAAACGGUUCUUCAACCUCGCCGGCAAUUCAUUCGCGGGGGUCGCCGCCGGCUGCAUGUCGGCACGUGAGAGCUCCGGCUAUAUCUAGGCCUCUGGUACGGCCCUGGAUCGGACCUCUCCCUGCCCCCAGAGUCUCUCCCUCUCGUACUCUAGGAGAUGCCAUGCCCUCGGCCGGCUUGGCGACGACGGCGGUGAUCACGCCGACGUCGCCUCCGAUGUUUCUUGCGACGGGCGUUUCGCCGGACGAGUCGGGGCGGUCGAUGGGCCUGGGCCCUCACCCAAUCUCAGGUGCGUCACAUCCGAACCGUUCUUUACGCAUGGUUAAUCUCAACCGUUGGUUGUUUCAUAUGUGGAACAUGGACACUCCUCGCAGAAACCCUAAUCUUCCUCGAUCCUUCGUGGCUGACGUCUGCUCGGGGAUGGGUCGCGAUGCGUCCGCGCCGCCGGGCUCUGGGCAGGUCCGACCUGCAGCCGCCGCGCCGAUGCCCUCGGACGCCUCCUCGUCUGGUGGCGCCCCUGGCUUCGCACCUGGGGUGUUCCCCCUGGUGAUCCCUUCUUCCUCCGCUCAAAGUGUCAUGCCGAACCUUCCCCAACAGACUCCAACACCGAGGCAACAGCAACAACAGAUGUAUCAAAUGCCGCAACAGUUCUUUCAGCAGCAACCGAUGUAUCAUGCGCCGCCGGGUACAUGCAGCAAAUGGCGCCGGUGUACUCAUAUCAACCAGCCGGCCCUUUCUUGCAACAGAGCCAUGGUCACCCCACUGCUGUCCAGCCAAUGGCCUUUAACGCUGGUCUGGCAAACUCGGCUGAAGGAGUUCAGACAGGGAAUAUCCGUCCUAGGAAACCGAAGGGAGGAAAAGGAAAUCGGCCUAAGAACCGUGCGAGAAACGCCCCGAUCAUCGCUGCUCCACCCACCUUGCCUUAUCAUGGCGUACAAGGUGCUCCGGCUUUUGUCUCGGGGCCUCUUGUGACUGCUGCUCCUCUUAUGGCACCGGCUCAACAAAAACAUGAUGUGGCUCAGGCGGCACCUGCUCCCGGGGUGAACACGGUAAUGACCAAGUUAUGGUGUACCAAGUGUCAGUCGGCCGGACAUGUGGCUUCAGAUUGUGAAACACAGCAGUAUUGUUUCAUCUGUAACAAGGCGAACCAUCCGAUGACUACUCGGCGGUGUCCAGCUCUCAAGAUGCCGAAGCCGGCGGUGAUGCUUUGUGGCUAUGGGACUGAGAGCAUGGCCUUCUUUCAGAUGCCUGACAAUGUUUACAGGGCAGACCUCGCACCACAAUCCUCCCCAACGGCUCUUGUUUCGAUCUCGGGAGGCUCUAUCUCUUCGAGCAUUGUGGAGGCGGAGGUUGCUAAGGUCGCUCAAUAUCAGCAACAGUGGACGUGGGAGGCUAUCCCUCAUGGCCAAAAUGCUUUUAUCAUGUCUUUUCCCAGUGACGAGGUGCUCCUGAGAGUUACUGGUUUCACGGUCUUCAUCAAAUCGCAUAAUGUCACUUUGGAGUUCAAGGCUUGUCAUUCCGAGGAGAUUCCGAAUCGUUUGAGCUUAUUCCAGUUUGGGUGCAUGUACACGGAGUUCCUCAUGCUCUCCGGCAUUUCUUGGGUCUCUGGGCAGUUGGCUCUGUUAUUGGCGCCACUCUUGACGUCGACCUCCUUUGCUUGCGCCGCCGUGGUAUUGUGAGGAUUCAGGUUGGCGUGCUUAAUCUUGAUGCUUUUAAGAUGAGCCCUGUCAACUCCCUCUCGUCGGAUGUGGUUGUUCAGAAGAAGGGCUAUGAAUUCCGGUACACUCUGGAAGAUGAUGAUUUCCGUGUGGACGCUGAUUUUGUGCCUCGCGUUUGGGAGCAUGGCGAUGAUACGGAAGGGGACAAGGAGCAUUAUUGAGAGGACACUUCAAGGGCUGAUGACAAGAGCAAGAGGCCGAAAGCGUCUUCGUCGUCAGCUAACACGGCGGCAUCAUCUUCCUUGGGAGGAGUGGUUCCGAUGCAAAUCACCUCUUCCACGACCGUUCCUGCCAGUACACAUCCAUGCUUGGCAUCGCGGCCUUUGUCGGGGGACCCACCAGCGGCGACGGAGCUCGUGCCGCCCCAGAACCCUCCCUCGCUUGCCAGCUCUGCACCGCCUCCACCACCUCAACCGGAUGCUUCGCCCAUGUCAGCUAUUCGGACAUGGGUUGAUGGGCCUGCGGCGCCCUUGGCGAUGGGAUCACCGUCGGAGGCUGCUUUGGAGCAUCUGACGACACUGACAUCGACUUCUUCUCGGUCUUCUGGUCGUCGGGGUGUGAUUUUCUCCCCGGCGGUGCGUGCAGAUCAUGACAUGGCCUUAGCGACGCUUCGGGUGCUGUCUCCUGCGCCGCCGUCGCAGUACGAGGAGGCUGCUCCUACGAACGCUGUCAUGGAGGAUGAGCUGCAGCUUUCACGGUCUCCCGCAGCGUCGCCGGGGCAGGCGCUGUCUCCUGCGUCGCCGCCGCGGGACGAGGAGGCUGCUCCUUGUAUUGCUGUUAUGGAGGAUGAGCUGCAGCGUUCUAGGUCUCCCGCUGCUACGCCGGAGCCGUCUACACCACCUUUCCGGCCCUCUGGGAUGCGGGUUGCUUCGGAGUUUACUACUUCACCGCCUAGACAUAGUGGCCGCCAUGUUGUGGGGGCUGAUGGGGCCUCUCCCACUGAUGAGGAUUCCAUGCAGAGGGCCAUGCGUAGAACGGCAUCGCGGAACCUCGACUUUGAUGGUACAUCUCCUUGCAAAUCAUUUCUAUCUUUUGAUAAAGCCAAAAUGUCUUCAAAUAUUGCUAGCCUUGGUAUUUCAUUAGGUAGAAAUGAUGCAGUAGUUGAUUUCUCAGUUAAAACUCUUAAGCAAAUGGAGUUCGACCGGCUUAUGGUUGCUCCUAGAACACUUCUGACGGCGGAUCCACUAGUAUCAGAUGAGGAGGAUGAGGAGUCCGAUGCCAACCAUGAAGGCAUACUCCUCUCUCAUCUGGUCAAUGAUACUACAGAGGUAGACUUUGAAGAUACCAUGCGUGAUACGAUGCUUUGUGAGCUCGUUGCAUCGGUACGUAAGAACAAGUCUAACUCUGGUAGUAAAAAGGGUCGCCCUAAGAAGAAGACCAAAGUAUCCAAACGUAAUAAAGUUUCUCCAUGAAAGGAAUGUUUUGGAAUAGCAGAGGUCUUGGUGACUUGGCUAAGUACAAACAUAUUUCUGAUUGUGUUAGGGAUCAUGCCCUCGACUUCGUGGCAAUCUCUGAGUGUAGUAAGCGUGACUUUCCAACGCGUGAUUUGGACCAUUUUUCAUGUGGCAAAGAUUACGAAUGGCAUAUCCCGCCGCCUUCAGGGAGGUCCAGAGGUAUUCUUUUAGGAAUACACUCCACUUACUUGGAACUUCUUUCAACUUCAAAGGGGGAGUAUCAUAUUAAAUUCCACCUUAGAAACAUGUCCGAUAAUUUCAUUUGGAGCUUGGUUGCCGUAUAUGGUGCUGCUCAAGAUGAAUUUAAAGCGGCCUUCCUCAAAGAACUUGUCAAUACCUGCAGAGAAAAUCCUCACCCCAUGCUACUUGGGGGGGACUUCAAUAUUUUGUGAUACCAGCAGGAUAAAAACAAUGAUAGGUUCGACACUCGAUGGCCGUUUCUUUUUAAUGCUGUCAUUGACAGUCUUGAUUUGCGGGAACUCUCUCUCUCUCUCUCGGGGCGCCAAUUUACCUGGGCCAAUAAUAGAUCUAUCCCGACGUUCGAAAAACUUGAUCGGGUGCUAGUCACCACAGACUGGGAAUUUAAAUAUCCAUUAGCAUCAGUGCGGGCUUUGGAGAGAAUUGAGGCCUUAUCGGAUCAUGCUCCAUUGCUUACUGAUUUUGGUCAAGCAGCACCCACUUCGAACCGCCAUCGGUUUAAAUUUGAACUGGGGUGGCUCACUAGAGAGGGUUUCCCUGGAUUGGUUAAAAAGGUGUGGCAACGCCCAACACGGGGUGAUACACCAAUUCAACGUUGGAAUAAUCGCAUUCGUGCGUUGCGCCAAUUCCUCUGUGGAUGGGCUAAACACACCGCUGGGAUUUAUAAGAAAGAGAAGUUGCGACUAUCUGUCUUGAUCGAAUCCUUAGAUAAGAUCAUGGAGGUGAGGCUUCUAUCUGCGGCUGAGAUUGAGCAAAAAAUUCAUCUCAAUGAGCAGCUAGCCCGUCUCUUACGCGAAGAGGAAAUCAAAUGGUACCAACGGUGCAAGAGCGACUCGUUGGUACUUGGGGAUGAUAACACGAAGUACUUUCAAAUGUUAGCCAAUGACAGACAUAGAAAGAAACGAAUAUUCACCCUUGAUCAGGACGAGGGUCGCAUUGUGGGGGACGCUCCGCUCAAGGACUUUAUUACAAAAUACUAUAAAGACUUAUUUGGUCCUUCCUCGGAAACUACGCUGGAGAUGGAUGAGUCUAUUUGUCAUGACAUCCAGCAAGUUUCCGCUGCGGAAAAUGAAUUCCUAACCUCUGCUUUCACUGAGGAGGAAAUGCGGACUGCGAUUUUUCAAACGGAACACAACAAAUCUCCGGGACCGGAUGGUUUUCCGGCGGAGUUUUAUCAAUUUUUUGGGAUAUGUUAAAGUCUGACCUGGUUCAAUUGUUUAAUGAACUGCAUGCUCAUAGACUAGACAUCUCUAGACUCAAUUUUGGUGAAAUUAUCCUUUUACCAAAGAUAAAGGAUGCCAAUCGGAUUCAACAAUAUAGACCGAAUUGCUUAUUAAACGUGAGCUUUAAAAUUUUCACCAAGGUCGCGACUAACCGGCUGAAUGGGGUCGCAGACCAUGUAGUCAAACCAACACAAACAGCUUUCAUGCAAGGACGGAACAUCUUAGACGGUGUUGCUGUCCUACAUGAAACUGUUCAUGAGCUCCACCGUAAAAAGUUGAAUGGGGUCAUCUUUAAGAUUGACUUCGAGAAAGCUUAUGAUAAGGUGAAGUGGCCUUUUUUGCUUCAAACUCUUCGUAUGAAAGGGUUUUCCGAUACUUGGUGCCGAUGGGUUGAGAACUUUGUGUCUGGAGGUAGCGUGGCUAUCAAGGUGAACGAUGACGUAGGCAAUUAUUUCCAGACUAGGAAGGGGCUACGCCAAGGCGACCCCGCAUCACCUAUCCUUUUCAACAUCGUGGCUGAUAUGCUAGUUACUCUCAUUGAGAGGGCCAAGCUAGCUGGUCAAAUCACCGGGGUCAUUCCUCAUCUAGUAGAAGGAGGCCUGUCAAUCUUACAGUAUGCGGAUGACACCAUUUUGUUUUUGAAUCACGACCUAGAAAAGGCUAGAAACCUCAAAUUGUUAUUAUGUGCUUUUGAGGAUCUUUCUGGCCUUAAGAUAAACUUGCAUAAGAGUGAACUUUUCUGCUUUGGCGAAGCCGCAGAAACUUCACAAGAAUAUGCUGAUAUAUUUGGAUACCAACUAGGCCAAUUUCCGAUUCGAUAUCUAGGUAUUCCUAUUCAUUAUCGGCGUUUGACAAUCGCUGAAUGGAAACAUGUUGAAGAGAGACUGGAGAAACGGUUGGCGAGCUGGAAGGCCAAACUCUUGUCCUAUGGGGGCCGACUAGUUCUGAUCAACUCGGUUCUUACCAACAUGGUCCUUUACAUGCUAUCUUUUUUUCAUCUGCCAAAAGGUGUUCUCCAACGCCUUGAUUAUUUUAGAUCAAGGUUUUUUUGGCAGAGUGACAAUGAAAAAAAGAAAUAUCGCUUGGAUAGGUGGAAUAUAUUAUGUCGUCCUAAAAGCCAAGGGGGACUCGGAAUCCAGGAUCUUGAGAUCAAAAACAUUGCAUUGCUCAGCAAAUGGGUAUACAGAUUACUCACUGAGGAUGGUGUUUGGCAGGAGAUCAUUCGUAAUAAAUACGUUGGGUCCAAAGCAAUCUCCCAGGUCUACUGGAAACCAGGUGACUCUCAUUUUUGGAGUGGGGUUAUGCAAGCUAAAGAAUUCUUUUUCCAAUUUGGCACUUUCUCGGUUAGGGACGGCUCCCAGAUUCGAUUCUGGGAAGACACCUGGCUCGGGACUACUCCUCUAAAUGUGCAAUACCCAAGCUUAUAUCGGAUAGUUAGACAUAAGUUUGUCACGAUUAAGCAGGUAUUGGGACAAGAACACCCGGAUAUUUCUUUUCGCAGAACGAUUUCUGGACCUCGUCUGACUGCAUGGAACGAUUUGCUGACUCGUUUGGGAGCUGUCCAACUGUCGGCUGAAUNNNNNNNNNNAUUUUUUUAAAUAAAAAAAAUCCGAACACGAACAUUUUUUGAAAAAAGUAAAAAAAAAAAUGGAAUUCCAGAAAAAACAGAAAAAUAAGAAUAAAAUUUGAAUUCUGAAAAAAAUGAGAAAUAGAAAAAAUAAACAUAAUAAACAAAAAGUCUAAGAAGACAAACAAAUAAACACAAGAGAAGAUAAAAAGAAAAAGGAAAACAUGGUUCACGACAUCCGAGAAGGUCCCAAAAGAGGAAAAAUGGAUGGGAACCCAAGGUUCCCAAGACUGAGAAUUUAGUUUUGCAAAUUUCAUAGUGAACUUUGUUUUGAUUUUUUUGUGAAAAUAUUCAAAUCCAUGAAUAUUUUUAAAACAAUUGAUGAACUUUUCAAAUCCGUGAGCUCUUGGACCGGCCCAACACGUGCCCGACGAGAGCAAUGUCGUCGCCUAGUUGGGCCAAGGCCUAAGCGUUUUAUUUUCUUUUCUAUUUUUUCAUUUGAUUUCUUAUUUUGCUAAUUCAUUUUUCUCUUUUUUUGAAUACCAAAAUACAAGUUGUAACUAAAAUUUUAAACUAGAGAUUUAAUAAAAAUAUAAAAUAAUUAUUAAAUGUUUUAAAAAACACUUACUGUUUUCAAUUUUAUCCCUUUGUAUUUAUUAGUUGGGGUCAUUUCAAGGAUGUCCAAAAAACACCAUGUUCGACGGAGAUUAUUCGGUAAGGUUAGAACGGUUCAUCUGAGAGCACGUUAUUUUUCAACAUAUUUGAAAACUGGUCAAUUUUGGGAAAAGAAAGUUCACUGAUUUGAAAGAAAAAUUCAAGAAUUUGAAAUUUUUUCGUCAUUUUUGAUUAAAAAAUCACAAAUUAUAAGAACUUCACGCAUUUAAGAAACAAAAAACAAAUGAAAAAAACAACCAAAAAAUGUUGCGCUUUUCCAGUGUUGUAUUUCAAAUAUAAAAAAACUUAGUUGACACUAGAGGUCCGAUUGCCUAGCUGGUUAUUGCGGCUGUGCUAAUUGUACCUAGGUCCGAAUCCUACAGCAAGUACCUUUUUUGCGGUUUCAAAAAAAAGAAAGGAUGAAUGUGCUGAAUGGGCCAGCCCAGCACGGCAGGGUGUGCACGUCCGUUAAUGUACAGCGUAUACGUGAUUUAAAAAAAAAGAGUUUAUAAAAAAUGCCUAUCAUGCCCUUACUUAUGAAGAGGUAUGGACUAAUCUGAGCCGUCCUUGUGUUUAGGGGGGGUGUACCGAAGCAGAAGUGAAAGAAGAAUUACCUCAACAGCCCAGCUUAGAUUACAGACGCACCACAUGUGUUGCAUAUUUCCCAUCUCUGUUUGCCAUAUCUUGAUCAUAUAUGAAAACAAUAGAAGAUCUUUUCUCUGAAAAUCCCCUAACGAAAAAGUGAUUCGUCAUAAGAAGUCACGUCCGCGUACGUUAGGCCCGCGGGUUGAAAGCUGACUGUGGCUGAGGCUUUGCAUGACCACGCAUGGGUAGACGGGAUUCGCGGCGCGCCGACGGUUCCUGCCAUCGCGGAGUUCCUUCUCAUCUGGAAGGAGGUGCGGACAGUCGGCCUAUCCGACUCCCUUGAUGCCUUCUCCUGGCGCCUUGGCGCAGCUGGCCGGUACUCAUCCCGCGAAACUUACGCCGCUUUCUUCCUCAGGAGGGAGUAUGCACCUUGUGCUGAGGAGAUCUGGCGUUCUUGGGCCCCUCUUGAGGUAAAAAAAUUCGCCUGGCUCGCCAUGCGGGCAAGGUUAUGGACGGCCGAUAGGCUUGCUCGGCGGAACCUGCCGCACACACGGGUUUGCCAGCUCUGCUGCUAGCAAGACGAGGACACCACACACAUGCUCCUGGGCUGCCCCUACGCGUGCGAGGUUUGGUAUAACAUGCUACUUCCCAUGGGUCUACAUCGAUUCACACCGGUUGGCACGAAGGGUUUAGCGGACUGGUGGUCAUAGUUGGCGGAGGCAGGUACGGUUAGGCACAGCAGACGAACGAAUGUAACUCACUCUGUACUGUGACUCCCUUUCUCUCCUUACUUGAAGCGCUCCUGCAUGUUCUUGAAAAAAGAGAGAAGUCACGUCCCAAUGUUCUGAAAACAUUCAUCAUAAUUAGUUAAGACCAGUCCCAAUGUUCUGAAAACAUUGAUAAAACAGUUAUGCUUCUGAAGGGUCUGAACUGAAGCAUACAAUAAAAUGGCCGAAAUUGCACCAUCUAUCCAUUGUGGCCCUAAAUCCUAAUGAAGCUUCAAAAGCCAAAGCAUGAGAAAACUGUAGAACAACAAUCUAGUCUGUAAAUAGCAUAUCUGAACAGGGUUUGACAAAAGGCAUGUUGCUUAUUCCAGAAUAUAACAUACAUAGUAUAGCAGACAACCACCAUUAGUCGGGCAAAGAAUGUCAAAUCAGGAAUUACCAGCUUAAUACAGAGAGUGAAAUCAGGGUUACAGCAAGCAUUUUCAAGGUUCAGUACCGCGUUCCCAGUUCAUGUAAAUCUGAAACUAGUUGGCAUUUCCCCUCUGCAGGCAGCAGCAUAGUCUUCAACGAGGUGCAGUGCAGCUACCUCUCCAUGAAUUCCUUCUCAAUCAGAUUGAAAAUGGUAUGCCAGCUCGGAACAUGCUUGACCAAUCCAUUUUCCUUGAGAAACUUGAUGACGCAGUACCGGGGCCUGAGACGGCCCUCUAGGCUGUAACUGAUAAUUACCGGCCCGUUGAGCAAUAUAGGCCAGUUCCAACCCCACCUCAGAGAAAAAGAACUCGGAACUGCGCCGCACCGCAGGAGCAUUAGACACGACAAUGCCCGCCUCAGCAUCUGACCAGCUGAACACGGUCCAUACAUAGAGAGAAACCAGAAAAGAAAACGCAAAACACGCAUACAUGCAUGCAUGCUUCCACAAAAGGGUUACCACAUACCUUUGUCGGGCUCUGGUGACCUCACAUUCAUUGUUGACCGCUUAUGACCUCACAUUCAUGGGAGAGAUUUCCUGACCUCAGAUUAUCUCUAUAAAAGCCUAUCACCUCUAUGAAUCAUGUGUCUCCACCAUUUCAAAUCCUCCGCGCGCCUAAGAUACCACUUGAGAAAUUACUAAUGGCCAACGGAAAGAAUGUUGUGGCCAUGUUAUUUCUCACCACCAUUGUGGCGGUGGCGGCCACAAGGCCAGCCGACACCUAUGGCGCUGCGGAGGAGAACAUAUUGAAGAUGGCUACCCCCAGCAGGAAAGGGGUUGACGCUACCUUAGCAGCUACACGUGUUGUUGCCGCCGAGAAGUCCAUGAAGAAGGCUGAAAGCGCCACCACACCAGAAGAGGCCGCGGCUGCCAAGCAAGAUGGAGCAAAAUCUGCUUCUGCUGCAUUAAAGUACAAUGCCAUCUCUCAGCAGGCAACUGGUAAAGGUUCUUCUACCUCCCCAGGCAGGAAAGAAGCAGCCGGUACUUUAGUUGCCACACACUAUGCUGCCGCCGAAAAGUCCAUCAAGAAGGCCGAAACCGCCACGACACCUGAAAAGGCCGUGGCUGCCAAGUGAGAGGCAGCAAAGUCUGUUGACGAUGCAUUAAAGUAUGGUGCCAUUUCUCGGAAAGCAGCUGGUGCAAGUUCUUCUACCUCCCCCAAUAGGAAAGAAGCCACCACUGACUUAGCAGCUAUGCACAUUGCUGCUGCUAAGAUGUUCACCAAGAAGGCCGAAACCGCUACCACACCUGAAGAGGCCGCGGCUGCCAAGCGAGCUGCAGCCAAGUCUACCGCUGCUGCAUCAAAGUAUGAUGUCAUUUCUCAGCAAGCAGCCGGUACAAGUUCUUCUACCUCCCCCAAUAGGAAAGAAGCUGCCGGUACCUUGGCAGAUGCACGCAUGGCUGCUGUCGAGAAGUCCAUAAAGAAGGCUGAAACCACCACCAGACCUGAAGAGGCAGCAUCCGCUAAGAAGGAUGCCGCGAAAUCUGAGGCUGAUGCAAUGAAGUACGGGGCCAUCCCUCAGCAGGCCGCCGGUAAAAAUGGUGCCUAAGUGGUGCCUUAAACACCUAUUCACGCGCAACAUCAUCUGCGUACUACCAUGCAUGCAAAAUAGCAGCAUUGAGAUAUCACAUUAUGCUAAUUCUCAUGCAUGCACGCUUUGUUUAAACGUUCCCAUUAUGGAUCAUGUAUCAAUUUCUUUCUUGUUUUACUUUCAUUAGUAAGACACGCUUGACUUGCUUUAAAAAAAUACAACGACCGAUGUAUACAUGUAUUAUCUGAAAAUUAAUAAUAUGAGUUCCACCGCAAUUUGGGUCUUUUUGUCAUAAUUUGGGUGCAAUCAAUGCACACAUCCAAUACACAAAAUUGGAUGAGUCAAUCCAUGGAGAGGCAUAAUGAUAUACGAUAUAUCUUCACUACUUCAAAAAGAACUUAAGGUUUCAUCAUACAUCUGCCCUUCAUUCAACCUCCCUACCAAUCCUUCCUGUUUUGAUUUUUUUCUCCCGUCUUUGAUUUUUUUCUCCCCAUCGAUUCUACCUAAAAACUGCCUCAAAUGUCACAUGUUUACUGUAUAUGUCAAGUGGUUGUGAUGAGACGGUGGCUGGGUGCUUCAGAUUUAUUCCAGCAACUGACUGUCAAAUUGAGUCAUCUCCCGUCCUUUCGAUGAUUGUAAGAAAGUAACCGAUUAUCGUUACCGGCCACAAAGAUAUAUUUUCUUGUCUUAACCAAGGGUUGCAUACAAUGCGUGUAGGUCUGACCCCAACAUUGUCAACUCCACGUACAAUCAAUCAAUCACAAAUCACGAGUUUUUUGUUCGUCAACCUUGUGUAUUUUUUUUACGGAAAGAACCUCAAAAAUUCAAAAUAUGUCAAACAGUGAUCAGGCGCACAUGAUAUAUUCUCCCUAGUGGGCGAGACAAGGGGUGCGUCAAUGGGCGAUGGGUCGAGGUAACAAAGCAUGAAUACGAGAAGGAUUCAAAAUAUUGAAAUUUUGAAUAUGAUGAAAAUGCACAGCCAAUUUUUGAACUAGCGUGUGCCGGUCUCUUAUGUUUGUGGAACUUUAGAUCCUUGUACUUACAACUCAAAUAUCACCACCCAUCAGGCAUUUCUGCUAUCCAUCUUACAAAAAUGGAACAAAAAGAAAUCGAUGCCCAUCAGCAUUAUGACACUAGUUUUUGGACACCCAUCAGCUCCAGCUAUACGACAAUUAACAAAAUUCUUCCCGUGUCGAUCUCCGGGCAAUAUAAGAAAGCCGGCACAUUCUCACUAGUAGAAAAGGGGGCAAUGGUCCAGACCGGGUCAGCCCCUUAGUCCCGGUUCAGUCCAGAACCGGGACCAUGGGGGCAUUGGACCCUGUUCGUGAGCCCCGGGGACCGGCCGGGCCACGUGGGCCAUUGGUCCCGGUUCGUCUGGACCUUUUGGUCCCGGUUGGUGGGACGAACUGGGACCAAUGGGCCUCGCUCCUGGCCCACCACCAUUGGUCCCGGUUUGUGGCUUGAACCGGGACCAAAGGCUGCCCUUUAGUCCCGGUUCAUGCCACGAACCGGGACCAAUGAAUUGCCUAUAUAUACCCCCCGCCCGCGAGCAGAGCACUCCCACUGCUCUGUUUUUCCUGGGCGGCGAGGGGAGAGCUUUGUGGUGCUCUAGCUCACCUCCUAUGCAAACGAGGUGUUCGAUAGAAUGCCCGAGCCACACUACUUAAGCUUUCUCCUCUCCAAGCUCGACCUCCAAGCUUUAUUUUCCUCAAUAUUUGUCUAGGUUUAGCGGUCCGUCACGUUCCGUCCCCGUCUUCACCGCCGUCAAUUGCCCGCGCCGAUCUCGUCGCCGGCACCAUCGUGGUGAGCCUCUUGUUCUUAUCUUCUUUCUGAAACGAAAAAAAUUCUUACUUGUAUGUUUAUAUAUAUACUUGUAUUAUUUUCUUACUUUUAUUAUUGCAUCUUGUAUAGUGCGAUGGUUUUGGUAUCCGCCCCCGUCGGCCCUCGUCCUGUCUAUGAUUCGAAUGAGGUAUAUAUUAUCUUUCCAUAACUAUUGGUUCAUUUAUUGUUUAUGAAAAUUAUGCCGACCAACUUGACAUAGAUUUUAUUUAUCUAGGAGGUUGUUGAACCGGAAAUUCCAACCGACCCUAUUGUUGAGAGGUUAAAUUUAGUUGAAGAAGAAAACAAUUUCUUGAAGGAAAAAAUAAGAAAAAUUGAGGAGAAGAUGAUAUUGGAGUUGCAUGUUGCGGAUGUCGUCGAUGAUCACAAGAUCAAGAUGGAUGCAAUGGGCUUGAAGAUUAGAAAGAUUAGAAAAUAUGCCAUUCAUACCAAGACUUGGUAUCAUUAUGCCGUUGGAUCAGUUGUUACCUUGGUUGCGAUUAUGAUCGCAUUUGUUUUCGCAUUGAAAUGUUUUACAUAGUUUCAAUGUAUGGUUUAAUUAAUUUAGAUGCUCUGCAGAGCUUUAUGUUGUUAGAUGAGAACUAUGUAUGUACUUUGGUUUUAAUGUGAUGAUGAACUUCUAUUAAAUUGGUCACUUAAUUAUCUAUUCAUGAUGUUCUGUAACGAUUUUUGACACACUUAAUUAUAUAUAAUGCACGCAGAUGAACCGACAAUGGAUGUACGGUGAAAGACACACCUCUGAGUACAUUAAGGGCGUGCAUGAUUUUCUCUAAGUGGCUGAGGCAAACAAGAAGAAUGGUUUUAUGUGUUGUCCAUGCCCUAUAUGUGGGAAUACGAAGUCUUACUCUGACCGGAAAAUCCUUCACACCCACCUGCUUUGCAAGGGUUUCAUGCCACACUAUAAUGUUUGGACGAGGCACGGAGAAAUAGGGGUUAUGAUGGAAGACGGCGAAGAAGAAGAGUACGAUGAUAACUAUGUGCCCCCUGAAUACGGUGAUGCUACUAAAGAUCAAGAGGAACCAGACGAUGUGCACGAUGAUGCUGCAACGGGCGAAGCUGCUGAAGAUCAAGAGGAACCAGACGAUGUGCCCGAUGAUGAUGAUCUUCGCCAGGUCAUUGUCGAUGCAAGGACGCAAUGCGGAAGUCGAAAGGAGAAGCUGAAGUUCGAUCGCAUGUUAGAGGAUCACAAAAAAAGGUUGUACCCCAAUUGCAAAGAUGGCAACACAAAGCUCGGUACCGUACUGGAACUGCUGCAGUGGAAGGAAGAGAAUGCUGUGCCUGACAAAGGAUUUGAGAAGCUACUAAAAAUAUUGAAGAAGAAGCUUCCAAAGGAUAACGAAUUGCCCGACAGUACAUACGCAACAAAGAAGGUGGUAUGCCCUCUAGGAUUGGAGGUGCAAAAGAUACAUGCAUGCCCUAAUGACUGCAGCCUCUACCGCGGUGCGUACAAGGAUCUGAACGCAUGCCCGGUAUGCGGUGCAUUACGGUAUAAGAUCAGACGAGAUGACCCUGGUGAUGUUGACGGUGAGCCCCCAGGAAGAGGGUUCCUACGAAGGUGAUGUGGUAUGCUCCUAUAAUACCACGGUUGAAACGUCUGUUCAGAAACGGAGAGCAUGCCAAGUUGAUGCGAUGGCACAGUGAGGAUCAUAAGAAAGAUGGGAGGUUGAGAGCACCCGCUGACGGGUCGCAGUGGAGAAAAAUCGAGAGAAAGUACUGGGAUGAGUUUGCAAGUGACCCAAGGAACGUAUGGUUUGCUUUAAGCGCGGAUGGCAUUAAUCCUUUCGAGGAGCAGAGUAGCAAUCACAGCACCUGGCCCGUGACUCUCUGUAUGUAUAACCUUCCCUCCUUGGAUGUGCAUGAAGCGGAAGUUCAUUAUGAUGCCAGUUCUCAUCCAAGGCCCUAAGCAACCCGGCAAUGACAUUGAUGUGUACCUAAGGCCAUUAGUUGAAGAACUUUUACAACUGUGGAAUGGAAACGGUGUAUGUACAUGAGAUGAGCACAAACAGGAAGAAUUUGACCUAAAGGCGUUGCUAUUCGUGACCAUCAACGAUUGGCCCGCUCUCAGUAACCUUUCAGGACAGACAAACAAGGGAUACCACGCAUGCACGCACUGUUUACUUUACACCGAUAGUGUAUACCUGGGAAGCUGCAGGAAGAAUGUGUACCUAGGCCAUCGUCGAUUUCUUCCGACCAACCAUCAAUGUCGAAAGAAAGGCAAGCAUUUCAAAGGCGAGGCAGAUCACCGGAAAAAGCCCGCCAUGCGUACCAGUGAUCACGUACUUGCUAUGGUCAAUGAUUUACACAUAAUCUUUGGAAAGGGUCCCGGCGCACUAGCUGUUCCGAAUGACGCUGAGGGACACGCACCCAUGUGGAAGAAGAAAUCUAUAUUUUGGGACCUACCCUACUGGAAAGACCUAGAGGUCCGCUCUUCAAUCGACGUGAUGCACGUGACGAAGAACCUUUGCGUGAACCUGCUAGGCUUCUUGGGCAUGUAUGGAAAGACAAAAGAUACACCCGAGGCACGGGAGGACCUACAACAUUUGCACGAAAAAGACGGCAUGCCUCCGAAGCAGUAUGAAGGUCCUGCCAGCUACGCUCUUACGAAAGAAGGAAAAUAAAUCUUCUUUGAAUGCCUGCUCAGUAUGAAGGUCCCAACUGGCUUCUCGUCGAAUAUAAAGAGAAUAAUAAAUACGCAAGAGAAAAAGUUCCAGAACCUAAAGUCUCAUGACUGCCACGUGAUUAUGACGCAACUGCUUCCGGUUGCAUUAAGGGGGCUUCUAUCCGAAAACGUCUGAUUAGCCAUUGUGAAGCUAUGUGCAUUCCUCAAUGCAAUCUCUCAGAAGGUGAUCGAUCCAGAAAUCAUACCAAGGCUAAGGAGUGAUGUGGCGCAAUGUCUUGUCAGUUUCGAGCUGGUGUUCCCACCAUCCUUCUUCAAUAUCAUGACGCACAUCCUAGUUCUUCUAGUCGACGAGAUUGUCAUUCUGGGGCCCGUAUUUCUACACAAUAUGUUCCCCUUUGAGAGGUUCAUGGGAGUCCUAAAGAAAUAUGUCCGUAACCGCGCUAGGCCAGAAGGAAGCAUCUCCAUGGGCCAUCAAACAGAGGAUGUCAUCGGGUUUUGUGUUGACUUCAUUCUUGGCCUUAAGAAGAUAGGUCUCCCUAAAUCGCGGUAUGAGGGGAGACUGACUAGAAAAGGCACGCUUGGAAGGGACUCAAUAAUAUGCAGGGACGGAUAUUCUUGGUGUCAAGCACACUACACAGUUCUACAGAACUCUACCUUGGUGACCCCGUAUGUCGAUGAACACAAGAACAGUCUGCGCUCCAAAUACCCGGAGCAGUGCGACGACUGGAUUACAUGUGAACACAUCAAGACUUUCAGCAGUUGGUUGGAAACACGUCUCAGAGGUGACAACACUGUUUGUGAUGAGCUGUACUUAUUGUCCAGGGGACCAUCUUUGACUGUAUUAAUUUACAAAGGAUACGAGAUAAAUGGGAAUACAUUUUACACGAUUGACCAAGAUCAAAAGAGCACCAAUCAAAACAGUGGUGUCCGCUUUGAUGCAACAACCGAGAGGGGAAAGGACACAUAUUAUGGUUAUAUAGUGGACAUAUGGGAACUUGACUACGGACAUGAUUUUAAGGUCCGUUUGUUUAAGUGCAAAUGGGUCAAUCUGUCAGGAGGCAGGGUACAGGUAGACCCACAGUACGGAAUGACAACGGUGGAUCUAAAAAAUCUUGGGUACACUGACGAACCGUUCAUCCUAGCCAAUGAUGUGGCACAUGUUAUCUAUGUGAAGGACAUGUCUACCAGACCGAGAAAAAGAAAAGAUAAGGAAGCAAAUACAUCAUACGAUGAGCCAAAGCGCCACGUAGUUCUUUCAGGAAAAAGGGACAUCGUGGGAGUGGUGGGCAAGACAGACAUGUCUGAAGAUUAUGAAAAGUUUCAUGAAAUUGCUCCCUUCAAAGUCAAGGCUGACCCUAGCAUCCUGACAAACGAUGAAGAUUAUCCAUGGUUACGGCACAAUAAGCAAAUGACACAAGCGAAGAAAAAGUGAAGACUUUCUCCCGCAACUAUUAUGAUGAUACCAUGCCAACUUUGUAACAAACGAGUAUGAUACCAUUGUCCGUUUUGUACAUGCAUAUGCUAUGUGGGUGAAAUUAUGAUACCAUGCCAACUUUCAACUUUUUCAGUGUUCAUUUGAAAUGCUUUAAUGUCUUAUGGUAGUAACAGAAAUUUAUAAUUUUUCUAAACCUAAUGGCACUAACAGAAAGUUUAUAAUUUUUGUAAAACUAAUGACACUAACAGAAAGUUUAUAAUUUUGCUGACCUAAAAAAGCAAAAAAUAAAUAAAAAAUAAAGAAAAAACAAAAGAAAAUAAAUAAUGCAAAAAACANNNNNNNNNNNNNNNNNNNNNNNNNNNNNNNNNNNNNNNNNNNNNNNNNNNNNNNNNNNNNNNNNNNNNNNNNNNNNNNNNNNNNNNNNNNNNNNNNNNNNNNNNNNNNNNNNNNNNNNNNNNNNNNNNNNNNNNNNNNNNNNNNNNNNNNNNNNNNNNNNNNNNNNNNNNNNNNNNNNNNNNNNNNNNNNNNNNNNNNNNNNNNNNNNNNNNNNNNNNNNNNNNNNNNNNNNNNNNNNNNNNNNNNNNNNNNNNNNNNNNNNNNNNNNNNNNNNNNNNNNNNNNNNNNNNNNNNNNNNNNNNNNNNNNNNNNNNNNNNNNNNNNNNNNNNNNNNNNNNNNNNNNNNNNNNNNNNNNNNNNNNNNNNNNNNNNNNNNNNNNNNNNNNNNNNNNNNNNNNNNNNNNNNNNNNNNNNNNNNNNNNNNNNNNNNNNNNNNNNNNNNNNNNNNNNNNNNNNNNNNNNNNNNNNNNNNNNNNNNNNNNNNNNNNNNNNNNNNNNNNNNNNNNNNNNNNNNNNNNNNNNNNNNNNNNNNNNNNNNNNNNNNNNNNNNNNNNNNNNNNNNNNNNNNNNNNNNNNNNNNNNNNNNNNNNNNNNNNNNNNNNNNNNNNNNNNNNNNNNNNNNNNNNNNNNNNNNNNNNNNNNNNNNNNNNNNNNNNNNNNNNNNNNNNNNNNNNNNNNNNNNNNNNNNNNNNNNNNNNNNNNNNNNNNNNNNNNNNNNNNNNNNNNNNNNNNNNNNNNNNNNNNNNNNNNNNNNNNNNNNNNNNNNNNNNNNNNNNNNNNNNNNNNNNNNNNNNNNNNNNNNNNNNNNNNNNNNNNNNNNNNNNNNNNNNNNNNNNNNNNNNNNNNNNNNNNNNNNNNNNNNNNNNNNNNNNNNNNNNNNNNNNNNNNNNNNNNNNNNNNNNNNNNNNNNNNNNNNNNNNNNNNNNNNNNNNNNNNNNNNNNNNNNNNNNNNNNNNNNNNNNNNNNNNNNNNNNNNNNNNNNNNNNNNNNNNNNNNNNNNNNNNNNNNNNNNNNNNNNNNNNNNNNNNNNNNNNNNNNNNNNNNNNNNNNNNNNNNNNNNNNNNNNNNNNNNNNNNNNNNNNNNNNNNNNNNNNNNNNNNNNNNNNNNNNNNNNNNNNNNNNNNNNNNNNNNNNNNNNNNNNNNNNNNNNNNNNNNNNNNNNNNNNNNNNNNNNNNNNNNNNNNNNNNNNNNNNNNNNNNNNNNNNNNNNNNNNNNNNNNNNNNNNNNNNNNNNNNNNNNNNNNNNNNNNNNNNNNNNNNNNNNNNNNNNNNNNNNNNNNNNNNNNNNNNNNNNNNNNNNNNNNNNNNNNNNNNNNNNNNGUCGCCCCCUACCCCGAGCGCGCGCCCACUGCCCCGUCGCCAUCCUCGUCGCCGACCCCGUGGUCCUCCUCACCUUGGUCCGGCCGGCGCCCUCCCUAGAAUUUUUUCAUAUAUAUGCUUGUUUUUUAAUAUAUAUGAUGAUAUAUAUGCUUGUUAUCAUAAUUGUUUUUGUUCAUAUAUAUAUGUAAUAAUUUUUUUAUAGAAUAUGAUGUUUUUUUCAUAGAUGAUCACAUAUAUGAUGUAUGCAUGGAUGUGGAUGAAAUAUGAUGUUUUUUUGUUCAUAGAACAUGAUGUUUUUUAUUCACAGAUAUUUUUUUGUUUAUGAGAGAGGCGGGGACGUCGAGGGAUCAUAGAUGUAUUUUUUCAGAAUUUUCUAUCGUGCAUAGACGGAUUUUAGACCACGGGAGCACCCCCUCCAUAUUGUUGCAAAAGUUGCUAAGUGAUAUUAAGAAGGACGUGGGGGGGGUCGAUAUACCCCCUCUCGAUAACUUCAACAUGAGGGGGGGUCUAUAUACCCCUCCCGAUAACUUCAACACGUUGGGAGGGGGUCGAUAUACCCCCUCCCGAUAACUUCAACACGAGGGGGCCGAUGUCGAUAUACCCCCUCCCGAUAACUUCAACACGUGGGAGGGGUCGAUAUACCCCCUCCCCGAUAAUAUUAUUUUCCCAUGUACGUAUGUCGUCGUUGUCGAUAUAAACCCUUCCCGAUAACUUCAACACGUGGGGGGGGGGGUCGAUAUACCCCCUCCCCGAUAACAUUAUUUUCCCGUGUAUGUGUCGCGUCGUUGUUGAUAUAACCCCCUCCCGGAUAACUUCGACAUGAGGGGCGGUCGAUAUAUAUACCCCCUCUCGACCGUGAUAACUUAUACCACGGCAGCACCCCCUCGGCCCUCUCGCUCGACCAAAACUCUCGAGGACACCCAAACCCUAGAGAAAAAACGAUGUUGGUCUCCUACCCCCUCCCGCCGCACCCCUACCAGACAAACUCUCUCGAGGCCACCCAAAUUUACCAAGUUAAAAUAGCAUUGUCGUCAAGGCCACCCCAAACCCUUGAAGCGUUUUGUCGAGGCCACCCCAAACCCUUGAAGCAUUGUCUAGGCCACCCCAACCCUAGAGAAGCAGCAUCGAGGCCACUAACAUGAUUCCUUAUUAUGAUUAGCUAGCUAGUUCUACGUUUGCCACUAAUAUAUAUCCAUCUGUACCAUGUUUGAAUAAUAAUUGACAUAUUGUAAAUAUUUGCAGAAACUAUGGAGCACUCCCGAGACGAAGCAACAGAAGCGAUGUUGGGGGACAUAAUCGCACAAGAAACUGAUGUCGUUGCGUCAUUUCUCAACGACACUGAUGGUCAGGAAGGACUGGGUUAAGAAGAGGGCUAUGUUCAUGAUGGCUCCGGCCCAUUAAUGCCGGUACAAGAAGAGGGCUAUGUUCAUGAUGGCUCCGGUGACCCAAUGGAGAUACAAGAAGGAGACCNNNNNNNNNNNNNNNNNNNNNNNNNNNNNNNNNNNNNNNNNNNNNNNNNNNNNNNNNNNNNNNNNNNNNNNNNNNNNNNNNNNNNNNNNNNNNNNNNNNNNNNNNNNNNNNNNNNNNNNNNNNNNNNNNNNNNNNNNNNNNNNNNNNNNNNNNNNNNNNNNNNNNNNNNNNNNNNNNNNNNNNNNNNNNNNNNNNNNNNNNNNNNNNNNNNNNNNNNNNNNNNNNNNNNNNNNNNNNNNNNNNNNNNNNNNNNNNNNNNNNNNNNNNNNNNNNNNNNNNNNNNNNNNNNNNNNNNNNNNNNNNNNNNNNNNNNNNNNNNNNNNNNNNNNNNNNNNNNNNNNNNNNNNNNNNNNNNNNNNNNNNNNNNNNNNNNNNNNNNNNNNNNNNNNNNNNNNNNNNNNNNNNNNNNNNNNNNNNNNNNNNNNNNCAAGAUCCCGAUCAGCAUCCAGCAAUGGUAUAAGCCUAAGGAGGAAGACCCUGAGGUGUCUUAUGUCAAUGAUAUGCAGAAAGAAGAUCUUUGGACUCAGCUGAAGGCAAAUUUCACCCUACCGCCAGAGGAGGAUCCGGAGAAGCCAGUUAAAGAGCAAUUAAUCAAGUCUUGUGCUCUUAAGAAGAUGGCAACCCUAUUCAGGAGGUGGAGCAAAGAGCUGAAUAAGUUUGUCGACAAAGAAGAGUCACCAGAAUUCAUCGGCAAAUAUGAGAAGAUUAAAGAUCACUGGCCCGCAUUUGUGGCCCAGAAGACAUCGGAAAAGAGUAAGAAGAUGUCGGCGACAAACAAGCAAAAUGCUACGAAGAAGCAGUUUCACCAUCGCACGGGGUCAGGUGGCUUCCUCAAAGCCCGACCUAAGUGGUCCAAGGCUAAGAAUGAUCUGCUUGAUAAAGGGAUCGAACCAGAGACAAUGAACUGGCCAGACCGUUGCCGGCCUUGGUUCUUCGGGGCUGGCGGAACCUUGGACCCUGUAUCAGGGAAGUGCCCUUGGACGGACGAGCAACUGAAAAUACCAGUCAAGAGGCUUCGGCACUAUAUCGAUGCAGCGCAGCAAGGGACGUUCGUUCCAGACAGGGAGAAGGACGAGCUCACAAUGGCCCUCGGGAAUCCUGAGCACCCUGGACGGACACGAGGCACGCCUGGCUCCAUUCCGUGGAAGGUUGGUUUUGCAGACGCAGGGGGUUACAAAACCCAGGAUAGGAGGAAGAAACUGGAGCAGAGCCAACUGCAGGCGCUGCACGAAAGGGUAAUGGGGCUAGAGGAACGUGAAGUAGAUCGCAGCAAACGACCUGCCGAAGCUUCCCUCGAAGCUACCCCGCCAUCUCAGCGGAGAAGAAGCGUGGCUUCCACCGAGCUGCUUUAGCCGGAGCAUGUCUUGACGGCACUUGCCAGCUAUCCCGUGGAUGCUAUCACGGAGUCUCAAAAUUGCCACAUUAUGACGCGAUGGAUGAAUUUGAAGGUCAAGGCAGCUGUUGGCUCUGUUUAUCCUACUGAACCCGGCGCAACUUUUCAUUGCCGGCUGAUUCCAGAAGGAUAUGCUAGGGUGAUGGUGGGUGAAAUAACGGAGGGAUUUGAGGACCUCCAGCUUGACCACCCUACCGGUGAAGGCGAGACUAGGCUGGGUUCUGCUCUGAAGACUCCAUGCCUAUGGCGGAAGGAGCUCAUAAACCUUCCGAAUUGGACGCCUCCAUCUCCUCCUCCUCCAGCGAGUCAGGGCACUCCGCCUCCUCCUCUGGCGAGUGACGAUCAGGGCACUGGGCCUCCUUCUCCGGCGCGUGGCGGCACUCUGCCUCCUUCUCCGCCUGCGCCGGCGCGGCCGAGCAGCCAGCAGCCUCCUCCUUCUCCGCCUCGCCAGCAAGGGCGGAAGAGACCCGCCGCCGCCUCGGCUGCUCCGGCGCGUCGUAGUCCUUCUCCGCCGCCUCGUAAGAAAGCACAAAAGAAGAUAGACGCCGCAGCCUCUCCGUCUGCUCCGGCGUCUAGCAGUACAGCCAGAUGCGGGAGGCAAUACAGAUACGGUCCUCCUCUCAAGCCUCUAGAGAAAUUAACGUACGAGAGGACCGUGGAGGAAAACGCGAAGAUCGUGCGGGCCGAAGUGGACGACUUCUUUGAAGGGUUGAAAGCAAAGAGACAUCCACCUCCGGAGGAGAAGGUACAUCCGGUGAAAGCAAAGCACACUCUCGAUGCCCUGAGGAAACCAACAAAGUCUCCGCCGAUAACCAACUAUGAGCGCAUUACUGAACAGACAUAUCUCCAAGCGGAGCGGUCAGGAAGUACUGUCAGACAUCAAAGGUCAAGAGAACGAGCAGCUGCGACAAAAAUUGCCCAGCUCGGCGAACAAGCAAAUCAAUCGUGCCCCCCGCUCAAUGUGUCUAGCGGCAACAUCGUCGCUAAUGCUCCGGGGACGGUGGCCGGUUAUGGCAAUCUUGUAGAUUACCUGCCUGACGAUCAAGUUCCUGAUUUCAUGGAGGUGGAUGAACACAGAUACGAGUACGGAAGCCUCUCGUCAAAGAUGAAAAAUCUCUAACAACGAUGAUGCGAAGGUUCCAUAAUUGGUACAUGAAAAUCUGCAGAGAGUCUGGGGGAACGAAUAGUUUGUAUCUGAACAUUAAAGAGGAGCACGACCUCGUUGGAAAUGAUAUGUUGCCUGUUCCAUUUUAGGAGUUCUUCGCGUUCUUCAAUCAAAAGGCCCUCGAUAAAUUAACCGUCUUUUGCUACUGUCUGUGAGUACUAUUUCUGUCAUUAAGUCUCUAUAUAUAGCUCAGCUCUCUCAUUGCAUGUAUUUAUAAUUUAUUAUCCUCAAUAUAUUAUGCAGAUUGAAGAUCGUCGAGUGCAGAAAACAAGAAAUGUAUGAUAUUGGGUUCAUUAACACAAAUAUCAUAGAUGAAAUUCAGGUUAAAAAGCACGCCGAAGAGGCGAGGCCAACUUGCUACAAUCGUUGAUAAAAAAUCAAAACAAAGAUACCAUACUCUUUCCUUACAACUUCAAGUGAGUGUUACUGUCGUGUGCAUAUUCGGUUUCCCCUAUUACUCGAGCGAGGUUAUAGUAAUGUAAUUGAUGAGUUAUGCAUGCGUGCGCAGCUUCCACUAUGUUCUUCUGGAGAUUAAGCUUGAGCAGGGACUAGUAACCGUCUUAGACUCGAGACGAAAAGAUCCCAAAACCUAUGCGGAGAUGACUAAAUUGCUCAACAAGUAAGUUCAAUCGAUCAUUAUCGCACCAUAUCGGCAACUUUUUGUUCAUUUCCUGAUAUCUCAAGUAAUAAUAAUUAUUUUCUUUGUCUUGCAGGGUUUGGAAACAGUUCACCGCAGAUGCUCCGGGACUGCCGAAGGAGCUGCGAUAUACAUACCUGAAAGUAAGUACUACUGGCUAGCUAGUUGCACGCAUCUCCUGUUGAUUCUAUAGCUAUACUUUUAUCAAUGCCAUUUAUAAUGCUUCAUUAUCAGUUUGAUUGACCUCUAUUUCUCGUAAAGUGCUUGUGGCAGGAUACGUGCGAGUUCCUCUACAACGCGACUUUGAAAAAUAAGCGGGGCUACUCUAAAAGACAAUAUGAAGUGCGUAAGCAAUAAUAUUCACAAUUUCAUUUUAUUACAACAUCAUUUCUAUUGAGUUUCAUUCAUAUAUAUGUAUUAAUUAACCCUCUUCUUCAAAUUAGACGUGGCAGAUGCGGAAUGAACUCCUAGAACAAGAUCGCAUGAAAGCAAUUCAAGAGGAAUUGGCGGGAUUCUUUCUUGACCACGUGAUCAAUAAAGCCGGAGAAUACCAUGUGAAAGUUGAUUUUAAUUGCUAAGGGAUUGUAAUUAAGAGAUCUUACAUAUUGUAUAUGUAUGUAGUCAGUAGCGUCGGAUAGAUAAUACGAAAACUUGUUGUUCGACCAAUCUCUCAGAGAAGGAGAGGUCGAUCGAUCACUUCUCUCGAUUUGGAUGACGAACUUCUGUAUUUAAUGGUUCCCUUCAUUUUCUUACUAGCUAGCGUGUCGAGGGCCUCUCUAUGUAUAGUACGUAGCGUCGACCAAGUACGGACAUAAGAGAGCACACUUCUCUCUAUUAAUUAGCUAGCUAACACAAUAUAUGAAAUACCUAAAUUNNNNNNNNNNNNNNNNNNNNNNNNNNNNNNNNNNNNNNNNNNNNNNNNNNNNNNNNNNNNNNNNNNNNNNNNNNNNNNNNNNNNNNNNNNNNNNNNNNNNNNNNNNNNNNNNNNNNNNNNNNNNNNNNNNNNNNNNNNNNNNNNNNNNNNNNNNNNNNNNNNNNNNNNNNNNNNNNNNNNNNNNNNNNNNNNNNNNNNNNNNNNNNNNNNNNNNNNNNNNNNNNNNNNNNNNNNNNNNNNNNNNNNNNNNNNNNNNNNNNNNNNNNNNNNNNNNNNNNNNNNNNNNNNCAUUCAAAAAAAAAACAAAAAUCCCAGCCACUGAAAUGCUGACGCAUGGAUGCUGGUCCCGGUUGGUGCCACCAAUCGGGACCAAAGGCCCUCUUGGCUGGGCUCGGCGCACCGGCCACGUGGAGGCCCAUCUGUCCCGGUUCGUGUUAGAACAGGGACUAAAGGUCUAGGGCAUUAGUAAUGACCCUUUAGUCCCGGUUCAAGAACCGGGACAAAAGGCCCUCAUCAACCGGGACUAAUAGGUGUUUUUCUACUAAUGUCUUCUCUACAUUCAAAAUCCAUAUGAACAAAGUCGUACAGAUAGACAAUUCAGAGCAUAUCAGCUACACGGCUCUACUAAAGUAGCCACCAAUUCUAGUAGGUCUACAAACAAUUAUGGAGUAAGUCGGAAACAACGCCCAGCGGUAAAGCAUUUUGUUCGGCCAAAUCUGACCAGAAAGUAAAUAGCCAUCAGGAAAAGAUGUCGGUUAAGGUAAAUGAAAGUGGCAAAUACCAAGAGAAUGGCAGAAGAUAAUUGGCUGAACUUCCAUCUUGCCAUGACCUCUAAAGAUCAAGCUUGUGUCGUUCUCGUUGGUCGGUACUGUCACGAGUUAAUUUUUCACAGGGCAACAGAUGAUGAAUGCCUUUUUGAAAACUGCUCUAAUUCAUUUGACAAUUGGCCUUCUGUUUGUGCCAGAGGGCACAGAGGCAAGAAGGACAAGCCAUGCAAAUAAUAUUCAGAUAUACAACAACACUAUACUGCCCCCCUCCCACUCUUUCGUACUAGAUUGAUGGCUUGGAUGCACAGCGGCGGGGUCGCUAUUUUUGCAGAUGCAGCUCUCAGAAACUUCGCUACUCCCGGUAUAUAUCCUUAUGCUCGCACGCAUCUCUAAUGUGUUAUUUCAAGAGUAGCAUUAUGUCCUGUUAUCAUUUUCCAGCUUCACCACUGUCACUCUGGCAACUGCUCUUAAAGCUAUCAUAUCAAAAUACUAACAAACGUACUGAGCUUGGAAAACGAGGAGGCUGCGACAACUUGUCCAUUGCAAUUGUGCAUCCUGCCUAAUUACAUCACUGAAUUAAACAAUUUGUCAGUAGGUGACGCAUCAGCAGUUUUCAAAAAGGCAUUCAUCAUCUGUUGCCCUGUGAAAAAUUAACUCGUGACAGUACCGACCCACGAGAACGACAGAAGCUUGAUCUUUAGAGGUCAUGGCAAGAUACAGGUUCAGCCAAUCAUCCUCUGCCAUUCUCUUGGUAUUUGCCACUUUCAUUUAUCUUAACUGACAUCUUUUUCUGAUGGGUAUUUACUUUUUGGUCAUAUUUGGCAGGAGAAAAUGCUUUACGGCUGGGCAUUGUUUCCGACUUACUCCGUAAUUGUUUGUAGACCUACUGGAACUGGUGGCUACUUUAGUAGAGCCCUGCAGCAAAUAUGCUCUGAAUUGUCUAUCUGUACGACAUUGGUCAUAUGGGUUUUGAAUGUAGAGAAGAAUGUGUCGUGUUGCCCGGAUAUCCACACGGGAAGGAUUCUAUUAAUUGUUGCAAAGCUGCAGCUGAUGGGUGUCCAAACACUAAUGUCAUAAUGCUGAUGGGCAUGGAUUUCUUCUUGUUCCGUUUUGUUAAGAGAUGGAUAGCAAAUGCCUAAUGGGUGGCGAUAUUUGAGUUGUAACUACAAGGAUCUAAAGUUCCAUGAACAUAAGAGACCGGGCACACGCUAGUUCAGAAAUUGGUUGUGCAUUUUAAUCAUAUUGAAAAUUUCAAUAGUUUGAAUCCUUCUCGUAUUCAUGCUAUGUAAGCUCGACCCAUCGCCCAUUGACGCACCCCUUGUGUCGCCCACCAUAGAAUAUAUCAUGUGCGCCUGAUCACUGUUUGACAUAUUUUGAAAUUUUGAGGUUCUUUCCGCAAAAAAAUAUACACAAGGUUGAUGAGCAAAAAAGUCCUGAUUUGUGAUUGAUUGAUUGUACGUGGAGUUGACAUCGUUGGCGUCAAGACCUACACGCAUUGUAUGCAACCCUUCGUUAAGACAAGAAAAUAUAACUUUGUGGCCGCUAACGAUAAUCGGUUACUUUCUUACAAUCAUCGAAAGGACGGCAGAUGACUCAAUUUGACAGUCAUUUGCUGGAAUAAAUCUGAAGCGCCGAGCCACCAUCUCAUCACAACCACUUGACAUAUAUAGUAAACAUGUGACAUUUGAGGUGGUUUUUAGGUAGAAUCGACGGGGAGAAAAAUCAAAGAUGGAAAAAAAAAUCAAAACAGGAAGGAUAUUGGCAGGGAGGUCGGAUGAAUGGCAGACGUAUGACGAAACCUGAAGUUCUUUUUAAAGUAAUGAAGAUAUAUCGUAUAUCAUUGCCGCUCCAUGGAGCCAUAACACAUUGACUCCUUCAAUUUUGUGUAUUGGGUUUGUGCAUUGGUUGCACUCAAAUUGUGACAGAAAUGCAAAUUUCGGUGGAACUCAUAUUAUUAUUUUUCAAAUAAUGCAUGUAUACAUCGAUCAUUGUAUUUUUUAAAGCAAGUCAAGCGUAUCUUACUACUAGAACUAAAAGUAAAACAAGCAAGACAUUAAAACAUGAUUCGCCGCUCCAUGGAGCCAUAAUACAUUGACUUGUCCAAUUUUGUGUAUUGGAUGUGUGCAUUGAUUGCACCCAAAUUAUGACAAAAAGACACGAAUUGCGGUGGAACUCAUAUUAUUAAUUUUCAUAUAAUACAUGUAUACAUCGAUCGUUGUAUUUUUUUUAAGACAGUCAAGCGUGUCUUACUAUUAAAAGUAAAACAAACAAGACAUUAGAACAUGAUUGGUAAUUGGAACAUUUAAACAAAGCGUGCAUGCAUGAGAAUUAGCAUAAUGGGAUAUCUCAAUGCUGCUAUUUUGCAUGCAUGGUAGUAUGCAGAUGAUGUUGCGCGUGAAUAGGUGUUUAAGGCACCACUUAGGCACCAUUUUUGUUGGCGGCCUGCUGAGAGAUGGCCCCGUACUUCAUUGCAUCAGCCUCAGAUUUCACGGCAUCCUUCUUAGCGGGUGGUGCCUCUUCAGGUCUGGUGGCGGUUUCAGCCUUCUUGUUGGACUUCUCGGCAGCAGCUAUGCACGCAUCUGCCAAGGUACCGACAGCUUCUUUCCUGUUGGGGGUGGUAGAAGAACUUGUACCAGCUGCUUGCUGAGAAAUGACACCAUACUUUGAUGCAGCAGCGGUAGACUUGGCUGCAGCUCGCUUGGCAGCCACGGCCUCUUCAGGUGUGGUAGCGGUUUCAGCCUUCUUGGUGAUCAUCUUACCAUCAGCAGUGUGCAUAGCUGCCAAGUCAGUGGUGGCUUCUUUCCUAUUGGGGGCGGUAGAAGAACUUGUACCAGCUGCUUUCCGAGAGAUGGCACCAUACUUUAAUGAAUCGUCAACAGACUUUGUUGCGUCUCGCUUGGCAGCCACGACCUUUUCAGGUGUCGUGGCGGUUUCAGCCUUCUUGAUGGACUUCUCGGUGGCAGCAUAGUGUGCGGCAGCUAAAGUACCGGCUGCUUCUUUCCUGCCUGGGGAGAUAGAAGAACCUUUACCAUUUGCCUGCUGAGAGAUGGCAUUGUACUUUAAUACAGCAGAAGCAGAUUUUGCUCC
rnacentral:lncRNA from 1 species